GGAAGGAUCAUUACUGAGAACCGGCGCCCUCGUGGCCCGACCCUCAAACCACCGAGUACCUUACCCCAACGUUGCCUCGGCGGGCGCGGCCUCGCGCCGCCCCGCCGGUGGACAAAACCAUAACAGCUUUGUAUGACGAUUGUCUGAUAUUACUCUUCGCGAAUGCGAUAAAGUACAACUUUCAACAAUGGAUCUCUUGGCUCCGGCAUCGAUGAAGAACGCAGCGAAAUGCGAUAACUAGUGUGAAUUGCAGAUUUCAGUGAAUCAUCGAGUCUUUGAACGCACAUUGCGCCCCCUGGUAUUCCUAGGGGCAUGCCUAUUCGAGCGUCGUUUCCACCCUCAAGCGCAAGCUUGGUGUUGGGGAUCGCCCCUCCCUCGCGGAGGCCGGCGUCCCUCGAAUCCAUCGGCGGUGCCGGUGCGGCCCUGAGCGCAGCAGCGAUGCAGCUCGAGGGUCCGCUCGACACGUGCCGCGAACGGCAGCGGAGACGCGGCCACGCUUCAAACGUCGACCUCGAAUUAGGUAGGGAUACCCGCUGAACUUAAGCAUAUCAAUAAGCGGAGGAAAAGAAACCAACAGGGAUUGCCUCAGUAACGGCGAGUGAAGCGGCAACAGCUCAAAUUUGAAAUCUGGCUCCUUUGGCGCCCGAGUUGUAAUUUGUAGAGGAUGCUUCGGCGUCGGCCCCGCCCAAAGUUCCUUGGAACGGGACGUCAUAGAGGGUGAGAGCCCCGUGUCUAGGCGGAUGCCUUCGCCAUGUGAAGCUCCUUCGACGAGUCGAGUUGUUUGGGAAUGCAGCUCAAAACGGGAGGUAAAUUUCUUCCAAAGCUAAAUACCGGCCGGAGACCGAUAGUGCACAAGUAGAGUGAUCGAAAGAUGAAAAGCACUUUGGAAAGAGAGUCAAACAGCGCGUGAAAUUGUUGAAAGGGAAGCGCUUGUGGCCAGACUUGGCCGCGGUUGUUCGGCGGGGCUUCUGCCCCGUUUACUCUUCCGCGGCCGGGCCAGCAUCGACUUGGGCGGCUGGAUAAAGAUCGCGGGAACGUGGCUCCCUCCGGGGAGUGUUAUAGCCCGCGAUGCAAUGCAGCCUGCCCGGGUCGAGGUCUGCGCAUCUGCUAGGAUGCUGGCGUAAUGGCCCCAAGCGGCCCGUCUUGAAACACGGACCAAGGAGUCUAACAUUCGUGCGAGUGUUCGGGCGUGAAAACCCGUGCGCGCAAUGAAAGUGAACGGAGGUGGGAACCUUAGGGCGCACCAUCGACCGAUCCUGAUGUCUUCGGAUGGAUUUGAGUAUGAGCACGUAUGUUGGGACCCGAAAGAUGGUGAACUAUGCCUAAGCAGGGCGAAGCCAGAGGAAACUCUGGUGGAGGCUCGCAGCGGUUCUGACGUGCAAAUCGAUCGUCAAAUUUGGGUAUAGGGGCGAAAGACUAAUCGAACCAUCUAGUAGCUGGUUCCUGC
rnacentral:misc_RNA from 1 species